rnacentral:rRNA from 1 species
UACGGAGGGAGCUAGCGUUGUUCGGAAUUACUGGGCGUAAAGCGCACGUAGGCGGCUUUGUAAGUUAGAGGUGAAAGCCCGGGGCUCAACCCCGGAAUUGCCUUUAAGACUGCAUCGCUUGAAUCCGGGAGAGGUGAGUGGAAUUCCGAGUGUAGAGGUGAAAUUCGUAGAUAUUCGGAAGAACACCAGUGGCGAAGGCGGCUCACUGGACCGGUAUUGACGCUGAGGUGCGAAAGCGUGGGGAGCAAACAGGAUUGAG